AUUGAACGCUGGCGGCAGGCCUAACACAUGCAAGUCGAGCGAGCGGCGGACGGGUGAGUAAUGUAUGGGGACUGCCAGAUAGAGGGGGAAAACUACUGGAAACGGUAGCUAAUACCGCAUACUAUCGGAUAACCCAUAUGGGAUUAGCUAGUAGGUGAGGUAAUGGCUCACCUAGGGGACGAUCCCUAGCUGGUCUGCGAGGAUGAUCAGGCACACUGGGACUAGGAAACGGCCCAGACUCCUACGGAGGCAGCAGUGGGGAAUUUUUGACAAUGGGGGAAGCCCUGAUCGAGCCAUCCCGCGUGUAUGAUGAAGGCCUUCGGGUUGUAAAGUACUUUUGGCAGAGAAGCGGUAUCUGCAGAAUAAGCACCGGCUAACUCCGUGCCAGCCGCCGCGGUAAUUC
rnacentral:rRNA from 1 species